rnacentral:rRNA from 1 species
UGACGAGUUUGAUCCUGGCUCAGGAUGAACGCUAGCGGCAGGCUUAAUACAUGCAAGUCGAGGGGGCAGCAAUGUCACCGGCGAACGGGUGCGUAACGCGUAUGCAACCUACCUACAUCAGGGGGAUAGCCCUAGGAAACUGGGAUUAACACCGCAUAAUACUAGACAUGGCAUCAUGAUUAGUUGAAAUAUUUAUAGGAUGUAGAUGGGCAUGCGUAGGAUUAGCUAGUUGGUAAGGUAACGGCUUACCAAGGCUACGAUCCUUAGGGGCUCUGAGAGGAGUAUCCCCCGACACUGGCACUGAGAUACGGGCCAGACUCUACGGGAGCAGCAGUAGGAAUAUUGGGGCAAUGGACGCAACGUCUGACCCAGCCCAUGCCGCGUGCAGGAA